UUCCUUCGGGGCAGGGUGCAAUUCCCUACCGGCGGUGACCGCAGACUGGAUUUACUCCACAUGCGGAAGUCCGUGACCCGUGUGGAUGAACAGCCUUCGAGCUGCUGCAUCUACGCGGCUGAUCCGGUGCAAGUCCGGGACCGACAGUUACAGUCUGGAUGGGAGAAGGA
rnacentral:ncRNA from 1 species